UUGUUCUCUUAGAAGACACCACUCUGGGAAUGCAGUCACCAAAGAAAGACCAUGUUAGGACACAGCAAGUAGACGGCCGUCUGCACGAGACACCAACCUGCUGGCACCUUGAUCUUGGACUUACAGUCUGUACAACGGAGACUGAUGGGGUUCCCAGAGGAAAAGCCUGUGAAGUGUUGGAGGGAGCAGCCUAAAACU